CUCAGCUUCAGCUCGACGAGCAUUUUGGAUAGGAUGAUUCCUUUUUUGGUACCAGGGAUUGAACCCAGGGGCACUUACCCACUGAGCCACAUCUCCAGCCCUUUAUUUUUCUAUUUUAUGCAGAGACAGAGUCUUGCUGAGUUGCUUUGGGCCUCACUAAGUUGCUGAGGCUGACUUUGAACUUGUGAUCCUCCUGCCUCGGCCUCCCAAAUUGUUGGGAUUAUGGCUGAAUGCCACCACACCCAGCUGGAUUGGAUGAUUCUUUGUCCUGAGGGGGCUCUUUUUGCACUAUGGGAUGUUCAGCAGCUUCCAUGGCUUCCACCCACCAAAUACAAAUAACAACCCUCACCCUCAAAUCAGGACAAUAAAAAAUGUCUCCAGAUACUACCAAAUGUUCUCCAGGGAGCAAAAAUCACUCCCAGUUGAGAACUGCUUCUCUAAAUGGGAAGUCUAAUCUUCAGAGAGGUUAAGCAACUUUCCCAAGGUCACAAGGUUGACAAAAAAAAUUGAAUGUAAACCAAGGUUUGCCUAACACCGGGCCAAAAUAUUUUUCAUGCUUUAGCUCCUAAGUAAAGGAGGUGUGAGGUCAGGCACUGUGGCUCAUGCCUGUAAUCACAGCAACUCUGGAGGCUGAGGCAGGAGGAUCAUGAGUUCAAAAACAGCCUCAGCCAAGAACGAGGAGCUAAGCAACUUGGUGAGACCCUGUCUCUAAAUAAAACACAAAAUAGGGCUGGGGAUGUGGCUCGGUGGUUGAGGGCCCCUGGUACCCCUCAAAAAAGAAAAAGAAAAAGAAGAUGUGAGCUCAGUACUGAAAUCUAUCUGCCCAGAAGCAAUAGUAUCGACACAUGCAGAUUGCCCUUCCCCAAAACUGUUUAGAAUUUCUGAAUUCACAACUGCUGGCUGCUGCUUAUCAGAGCCCAAUCUAGAUGUAAGAUUUUCAGAGUGAAGUCAACUGUGACCCAGGCCACUCUGCCAAACCUAGAAAUUCAAGCUCUCACUUACAAUCCUGCCUGUGUCCCCCGAGUGUGCCUCGAGGUUUGAUUUGAGCGUCCACUCCACUGGUCCUGGGAUCACUGGGAAAGCCAAGGUCGUGGGGAGCAGCGGCAGCUCUUCCGUUGCUGGUCUUCAGCCACUGUUUAAAAAGAGCCAAGAACAGAACUGUAACUCCAUUCUGCCUGAGUUCCACCUUCUUUUGGUUCCAGGUUAAUUUAUUAAAAUCUUUAUGAAUAAAAAAAAAUGGAUCUAAUUUGCAAAUUUACACUUCCAUGACCUGAAGAGAUAGAUGGGUGACUGAAGAAACCACUAGGCACAUAGUCACCAAGUUGCAGGCAGGGACACUAACUGACAACAGAAUGGAGGCCACCCCAAGCCUGGGUUUUUUUUCAUCAUUUAUUCUCUGCUUUCUUCCUCUAGCGCUGUGACUUUUUUUUUUUCUUCUCUUCUUUGCUGGGCCCUGUGGUACACAGACACAGUCAGGCAAGCUAAGG
rnacentral:lncRNA from 1 species